GAACUGAAGAGUUUGAUCAUGGCUCAGAUUGAACGCUGGCGGCAGGCCUAACACAUGCAAGUCGAGCGGUAGAGAGAAGCUUGCUUCUCUUGAGAGCGGCGGACGGGUGAGUAAUGCCUAGGAAUCUGCCUGGUAGUGGGGGAUAACGUUCGGAAACGGACGCUAAUACCGCAUACGUCCUACGGGAGAAAGCAGGGGACCUUCGGGCCUUGCGCUAUCAGAUGAGCCUAGGUCGGAUUAGCUAGUUGGUGGGGUAAUGGCUCACCAAGGCGACGAUCCGUAACUGGUCUGAGAGGAUGAUCAGUCACACUGGAACUGAGACACGGUCCAGACUCCUACGGGAGGCAGCAGUGGGGAAUAUUGGACAAUGGGCGAAAGCCUGAUCCAGCCAUGCCGCGUGUGUGAAGAAGGUCUUCGGAUUGUAAAGCACUUUAAGUUGGGAGGAAGGGCAGUAAAUUAAUACUUUGCUGUUUUGACGUUACCGACAGAAUAAGCACCGGCUAACUCUGUGCCAGCAGCCGCGGUAAUACAGAGGGUGCAAGCGUUAAUCGGAAUUACUGGGCGUAAAGCGCGCGUAGGUGGUUAGUUAAGUUGGAU
rnacentral:rRNA from 1 species